CGUUUGUGCAGGGUCAUAAAGAAACAGCAGGGAGGGUGAAUGGAAAGAAAUAAUAGGAGGCAGAGGAAGCACCGUGCACAAAGAAAGGGGGUAAUGAAAGAGCUUAAAAUGUUCUGAAAUGGGAAGGAGUUUGGUGUGUCUGGAAUAUAUUGUAUGUGAGAACAAAAUGAAGAAAAACACUGGGUCCAAGUGUUUAAGCAGGGGUAUUAUAUAACCAAACUUAUUUUUGUAGGGAAAUAUCUCUGGUGAUCCUAGAGGCAGAAGCCAGGCAGCUGUGGCAAUAGCUGAGGAGAGGGUAUGAAGUAGGCUGAGACAUGGAAAGAGAGGCGAAAGAGUGGAGGCAGAGACAAAAGGAAUGGGGAAACCUUCUUUAAAUACACCAAUUCUCUUUUGUUAAUCCAUAAGGAACACCUUCAGUUCACUUACAGACCAGAAUAGUAAUAUUCUACAUUUUAUCCAAAGAUGCCAAAGCCCCUCUGAUACUAUUCAUACCUUUAAAAACCCCUAGAAACAAUCAGGGACUGGAGAGAAGUAAGAGGGGCGGAGCUAGAAAUCAGCUCUGCACAUGACUCCUCCUCACUUAACGUGGUCUUCAGGACAAAGAGGAAUCUUGGAAGAUUACUCACUGAUCAACCUCCGCAUUUGAGAACUGGGACAACGACAAGCUUCCCCAAAGUUGCAGAGCUGGCUAGGACCCGAGACAAGCCUCUUGAAUCCGAGGUCCUUGCUCUUUCAACUACUGCUUGUGUAGGAAGUUGUUGGGUGCAGCAGGCUGAAUAGUGGAAUAGUGUUACCUGAGAAUUCAUGUCCCCCUAGAACUUCAGAAAGUAAUCUUUGCAAACCCAAUUAUGGUAAGGAUAAAAUGAGGUCACAUUGGGCCCUAAAUCCAAUGAGCGCGUCCUUGUAAGAAAAAGAAAAGAACACAAGCAGAAAGAGGACAAUGUGGAAGUGGAAGCAGGCACUGGAGGAAUGCAUCUGUAAGCCAAGGAGUGGUGGCAGUGGCCAGGGGCCCCGAGGAAACUGACUCUGCUGAUGCUUGGAUUUCAGAUUCUGGCCUCCAGAACGAUGAGGACAUGACCUUGACAGAUGAAGAGCCAAGAGAGGGGACUUGACUUGCUCAAGGUCACACCAUCUAGAACUCAGAUUUCCUGACUCAGUGCAUUGGCUCAAAGGAACAGCCAUUAUUCAGCUAAGACAUAAUAUUGGUUCAGACUUCCUCUAAGUUGUAAUGAAUCAUUUAACCAAACUCCGGUAAAUUUCACAAGAGCUUCUGGAAGCAAAGAUGUGGUAACAAGAAACCUAUGACAGCCCAGACCACAGCUACAUCACACCAUGGGUGUUUCCUCCUGGGAAAGGGGAUUUGAUUGCUUUGGAGACAGCACAACACUGACAGCCUUUCCCCUGGGCAGAGAAUUAAAUAAACUCUGGGGCUUCUCCCUCAAAACACAUCACACAUGGUUAAAGUCUAUGUAUAUAGUGCAGCUAACCUGUCGUAGAAAAGUUGGCAAUAAUCUUCAGACACUAGCACCAAAUAAAGGCUUCCAAAUUCUCAUCAGGGUGGUAAGAUGCCUUUCUUCACGUGUUUAAAAAAGAAAAAUCCAUCCAUGAGAGAAUUAUGGACACCAUGUCUGAAAUGUGCC